AAUAAGUGUAAUCAUAAGUUUCCGUGUCCAACUUUGAUCGCCCGUCUUAUUUGAAUUUUUUAUAGUUAGUAUUUUAUUUUAUUAGAUUAUAAAACAUGAAUGAUACUUUAUGUAUGACUUAUGUUUCUUAUUUUUUUUAAAAAAAAAUCAAAUAAGACAGACGAUCAAAGUUAGACAUUGAAACUUAUGGCUACGCUUAUU
rfam:Oryza sativa Japonica Group DNA, chromosome 7, cultivar: Nipponbare, complete sequence.